UGUAUUUGUUUUGUUUUGAUUUGAUUGGUUUUAGGGAGAGGUUUUGGAGUUUUUGCUGUGAUAGCAUAUGUAGGUUUCAGAGGCAUUUGGGCAUUUUAUUUAUGUGGCUGGGGUUUACUGCCUGCUACAUUAAUUCUACAGUCACAGAUACCGUUUUAUUUUUUCAUUUUUUGGAUCUUAUCAGCGACCCCACGAACAAUCAGUUAUAAGUCUUUGUCAUUGAAAGUAUCAGUCUGUUUCACAAAUAGGGUUUCUUAAUGCCAGAUAGUGGGGCACUUUAGGGUGGUGCCGCUACUCAUAAAGUCUUGCCGGCCACUUUCAAAUUCUUACUGGGUGCUCAAAUUGGCUUGAAGAUAAGAUGAAUAUCAGCCCUCUUUAGUAGAAUAUGGAAAGUUCGUUGGUGAACUUAGACAACUUCAUCUUCAUCUAGCUAAAUUCAUAAAGUAUUUGAAAUUUUGGCGGUAUUCAGAUUCAGGCCAGAAAGAUUUUUAAGGAUAGACAUGAAUUUAGAAACCAUAUGAUAUACUGAAGAACCUUCAGUAGUCGGGUGGCAUCAUGUCUAUGCCUCUGUGGUUUUUACCUUCGUAAUGUCUCUACCCAUAAAUGCCGAUGUCACAAGGGCAGCAUUGCUGAACAUGGCAAUUGGAAAGCUAGCAUUAUGUUACAACAAUAUUGAAGUCUUCUGAGGAGUGGUAAAGGUGAGACAUGGUUUUGGUUGCUUCAUCAAGUUAUGGCAAGGGUGAUAUCUGAGACAAUAGGGACUACAAUAAACCUUAUUGAUAUUUGCUGAACAUUUCUGGAAACCACAGUUGAAAUUGUGUCAGGUCCUGCUGUUAAAGUUAUACCAAACUAGAACAAUGUUCUAUGAUGUUGUGGUGCCUUCUUCAAUUCUCUUGUUUGUUGAAGUCCAAGGGUGGUGGAAGAGGAGAAGGAUGAAAGUAACUUUCAUUAUGACAAACUUCUGAACAACUAUCUUUUGAAACUUCUGAAAAGGUUGAGCAGAUUGAUCCCAAUGCUAGAAAACCACUGAGCAGGGAAUCAGGGGUGCGGAAUGAUAGGUAUACUUUAAUUCUUUGCCUAGUCAUUCUAAUCUUUGGUUCCUGCAGCAAACAAUCAGAAUGCAGUAGGUCAGACUAUAUAGGCUUGUUGGUCAGGUGAUGUACUAAAUAAUCAACACACCUUUUGGAAGCAGGAGGUGAUUUGAUUAGAAAUUGAAGGUUUCGCUUUAGGCAUUUCUUAAUAAGCCUACAAUUCUUCUUAACAACCCAACCUAUUUCCACAACGAGUUGUGUUGCAUCAGAUCUUACGCUAUAACCCACCAAGUCAUAAUUCAGCUCUGAUUGUGGCAUUCUUCAUUCUGCUUGCACUCAGCUCUUUGCAAAGCGACCUUCCAAUUCAGUAUCACGUAAGCUCCAUUUGAUUUUCUUGGAAACUGAAUUUGCUUUUUCUUUGUGGAAUUGGCUACUCCUGGGUUCCCUGCGGCUGUGAUGUAAUCUGAUUUCUGCCACAUGGAUGCCCAUAUCUCUUCGACCCUGAGUACAUCACUUAUUACAUACUUAGCUCUUAACUUACUGGCUUUAGAUAUAAAAAACCUAGAUUGAUGUAAGAUGAGACUACAUCUGGGCUAUGACAGAUGUCUGGUGAAUCAUCAGCAUAAAUUGAUUUGUGGACUGACCCGGAUGAGCCCCGUGUGCAUGGUGUGAAGAACCUGAGAAAAGUCUUGUAUGGGAUUGUAUAGCUUAUCUGAUUGCGUUGAAUCAAAGCAACGAGGAUGCUCUUCGAAGGAGGAUAAGAACAAUAUACUUGAUAGGUGCAUUUCUAGUAUCUAUAAUUUAUUUUAAAUUGAUUCUCUCUUGAAUUAUUCAA